rnacentral:rRNA from 1 species
UACGUAGGGUGCAAGCGUUGUCCGGAAUUAUUGGGCGUAAAGAGCUCGUAGGCGGUCUGUCGCGUCGGAUGUGAAAACCCAGGGCUCAACCUGGGAAUUGCAUUCGAGACUGCAUGGCUAGGAUGCGGAAGAGGGAAGCGGAAUUUCCGGUGUAGCGGUGAAAUGCGUAGAUAUCGGAAGGAACACCAGUGGCGAAAGCGGCUUCCUGGUCCAGCAUCGACGUUCAGGCACGAAAGCGUGGGGAGCAAACAGG